GUGUUGUUAGAGGUGGACUUUGCCUCUCUGUCCCUCUUUCUCCGCCUGCUUCCGGGGCAUGGAAGGGCUGGCCAUGCUUAGGCAGCUUAUUGGUCAGCUUCAAGACCUCUUGAUUCUCUACGGCUCUCCUCCUCCUCCUCCUCCUCCUCCUCCCCACCUCCAUCACCAGCCUUUUCUCGAACUCCACCACCACGAUAACCACCACAGAUGGUGCGUCCUUGAUAUCAAGAUGAAUACUGUGAUCUUGUGAUGGCUGCUGGAAAAUCUGGAAGUUUCAAGCUGUUGGAGCCUUCCAAGCCUCCACCUUCCAAGAAAUCUAGAAAGGAGCAGGACCGAGGAAAGUUACUUGGAACUACUGGUACAACUGAGGUUAUGGAAUGCGAAAUUUGGAAAGAAUUUCCAGAAGACCU
rnacentral:misc_RNA from 1 species